GCUGAACAGAACCCAGAAAGCGGCUGCAACAAUAAUGGAGAGUGGUGAUGAGAAGAAGCAUUUGGAAGAAGUUCCCGCAGAGAAAUAUGAGAAUGGCUCCUCUGGAAUUCUUUCUGUGGUGAAGAUGAUAAAGCAGGCUGGUUCUAUGGCUAAACAAGACAUCAAAGCUUUGGUUCUUGAUGCUUUGGGAGCUCUACUUGUCUGUGCUCACCCUCACCCU
rnacentral:lncRNA from 1 species